ACGGUAGCUAGAUGGAUUUUAAUAUCAGUGGUGUGAUUUACAUUGUGUUUGUGUCUGUUUGCGUGCGUGUGUGCUGUAGGUUUUGAAGGAUGUCAAUGAAAAGAAAACUGGAUAUAAGAGACUUCUUUAGGAGUCAAACUUAGACCCUGAUGUUGUACUCCAGCGUGGAGCAGUAGGCGUCGGAGAAGAGCACCAGUCUCAGACGCUUGGCAGCGCCCAUGUGCAGCGACUCUCCCACCAGGGCAAAGGUGCCCAGCUGCUCGGAAAACAGCUGACACGUCUCAGCCUCCAGCUGGCAGUAAUAAGGAUCUGACGCCAGCUCCUCCCCCAUCAGCAAGACGUCCUGGAAAGAGGCGCAGGGAAGAGGGCAUGAAACUUAGGGGGCCGCGGGGGGCGCUGGCGCCUAUCUCAGCUACAAUCGGACGGAAGGCGGGGUACACCCUGGACAAGUCGCCACCUCAUCACAGGGCCAACACAGAUAGACAGACAACAUUCACACUCACAUUCACACACUAGGGCCAAUUUAGUGUUGCCAAUCAACCUAUCCCCAGGUGCAUGUCUUUGGAAGUGGGAGGAAGCCGGAGUGUUUCACAAAAGAGAAACUGGAAAUUGUGAUGUAUAAUGU